UACGUAGGGUGCAAGCGUUAAUCGGAAUUACUGGGCGUAAAGCGUGCGCAGGCGGCUGGUCAAGUCCGAUGUGAAAUCUCCCGGCUCAACUGGGAAACUGCAUCGGAAACUGAUCGGCUUGAAGAUGGGAGAGGGUAGUGGAAUUCCCGGUGUAGUGGUGAAAUGCGUAGAUAUCGGGAGGAACACCAGUGGCGAAGGCGACUACCUGGCCCAUUCUUGACGCUGAGGCGCGAAAGCUAGGGGAGCGAACGGG
rnacentral:rRNA from 1 species